UUUCCGUAGGUGAACCUGCGGAAGGAUCAUUAUCGUACAAAAUGUGAGGGGCAUGCGAGGGCGGUCGCUGACCAAAAGUCGUGCACGCCCGAGUGUGUCCUCUUGCAUAAUAAUCCAUCUCACCCUUUGUGCAUCACCGCGUGGGCACCCUUCGGGAUCAUCUCGGAGGGGGGCUCGCGUUUUCACACAAACCCCCCUUUUAAAAGUGUAGAAUGACCACAUUUAUGCAAUCAAUACAACUUUCAACAACGGAUCUCUUGGCUCUC
rnacentral:misc_RNA from 1 species